UGUAGGAGAAGUUGAAGUUAAAUUAAGUGUGUGUGCAUUUUGUUAGUGUGUGUGGUAAAGGAGAAAAAGAAAGAUGGUUAUGUGUGUCUAAAUUCAGUCACGUGUAUGUGUGUGUGUGUGUGUGUGUGUGUGUUUUUGUGAGUUCAUAUGUAACUGUCCAUGUCUGAGUAUCUCCUCAGGCUCUUUUCUGAUGGACCACUGCUGCAUGUUGUGGAGAUGAAAGGGAUGCUGGGAACUCAUCUCACGCUAUGAAUCCUGGUCCAGCAGGUGGCAGUAGUAAGAAACCAAAGGACAAACAGCCCAGCAGAGAAGUCUGCAUCAAGUUGGAGAAUGCACAACUGGCUUUUUAAUUGAAAUCCAGCAAUCUGCAAGGAAAAGAUGGCAAACAGUCCCCUGAAGACAAUGUCUUAGAAGAGGACAACAAGACACAGGUCUUACAUAUAAUGGGCGAGAGGAAGUCAGAACACUGCAAGAAAGGGUCCACCAAUCAUCAUUGGGCGAUCAAGCUACAAGGUUUGCUCAACUCCAGACUAAGGAAUGCUGAUGUUAAGAAAACAUUUGAUAUGCGAUAGUAUUGGUUUUAUUAGGAAAGUUGCAUCUCGCCAUCUUCUUCCUGUAAACUUUACUUUUAUCUGAAAAGAGGACUUUGGACCAGUGAGCCACAGACCAGUUUUUCUCCUUAGCCCAGUGCACCCGCUCUGGGGCUGGCUGCCUGUCAGAGGUGAGUCGGAGCCGCAGGAGGAAAACUUCAUGUGAGCUCGAACCUCCUGUUGCGCUGAGUUCUACAGACAGACAGCUGUCAGGCUUUGAAGCUGCUCCGCUUAGCUGCACAGAGCCGGUGAGGAGAGGGCAUCCUGCCACCUGUUGAUGCAUCAAAACUCUGGCUGCCUUUGUUAGCAGUGCCAAGAGGCUCUUUGGCCUUUUGGGUUCAUCUCUGAAAGAAAAAGCUGUGUAUGCUGAGAAGAAGCAAGUCAUGUUCCCCGCCUGAUGAA